rnacentral:rRNA from 1 species
UACGGAGGGUGCAAGCGUUAUCCGGAUUCACUGGGUUUAAAGGGUGCGUAGGCGGGCAGGUAAGUCAGGGGUGAAAUCUUCGAGCUUAACUCGGAAACUGCCUUUGAUACUAUCUGUCUUGAAUAUGGUGGAGGUAAGCGGAAUAUGUCAUGUAGCGGUGAAAUGCUUAGAGAUGACAUAGAACACCUAUUGCGAAGGCAGCUUACUACGCCUAUAUUGACGCUGAGGCACGAAAGCGUGGGGAUCAAACAGG